rnacentral:tRNA from 1 species
GGGCAGAUACCCAAGUGGCUAAAGGGGACAGACUGUAAAUCUGUUGCACUCGUGCUACGUAGGUUCGAAUCCUACUCUGCCCA